rnacentral:rRNA from 1 species
GCAACUCGCCUACACGAAGUCGGAAUCGCUAGUAAUCGCGGAUCAGCAUGCCGCGGUGAAUACGUUCCCGGGCCUUGUACACACCGCCCGUCACACCAUGGAAGUCUGCAAUGCCCGAAGCCGGUGGCCUAACCACUUAUGUGGAAGGAGCCGUCUAAGGCAGGGCAGAUGACUGGGGUGAAGUCGUAACAAGGUAAC